AUCCACUCCACGAAAAUUUGUGCCUGUAUAGCUUCUUUGCAUUGACUCAAGCUGCAAGAUAACACGAGCCAUUCGACCGAGCUCUUCGUCUUUUCGUUAAUUGGCCACCGACGAUGCACUAAUUUCAUAUCGCCUGACAUUUUGACCGGUCGGGUCAAAUGAUCGAAAACAUUGACUUGGAUUGUAAACCGAGCGAGUCACCAAGUGCGCAGACGUAUACGUUGCCUACGUAUUAAACUCAGCGAGGUGUAAACAUGAUUAAUUAUCAGUUUCACUUAAAAACAGUACGCAAUAUGAUUUGAAGAGACACAGAGAGCAAGAGCAGGAAAGUUUGUGAACUUUCUACGAGAUAGAAAUUGGAUUUGUCUUCGGUAGAGGAUGAUACUAGGGAAUCGAGUUUCACCGAAUUCGAUGGUCUUCGUGUCACUUUGGCUUCGAGAAGCAUGACGGUAUUCACAGGAGAACGUUAGUACAUGAAUAUUUAUGAGCGCGAACAUUCUAGGUACGUAAUCGCGAUAGGCUUUGAAAUCGGACAGUCGCAUUGGCGGUGGAUCGAAUACCUUUUUUUAUCAUUUGGCAUCGGUGUGCUUACACUACGACGUGGAAAUCACACGUGGGAUCGAUGGGCGUUGAUAUCUGGAGGGAAGCAAGGCGAAACGGAAGCCUGAAUUAUAUUAAGACCGAUGAAAAAAAGUAUAAACGUUAUAUUAUAUAUUAUAUAUCAUUAAUAAAUGUACAAUGUACAAUCGAAACAUUCUAACAAGAUAAAAUUAUGAAAUGUAUUGUCCAUUUACAGAUUUACAAAAGGCCACCCAUAUUAAUACUGUAAUUAUUAUGAUAAAUUGUGCGUUUGAAUAUAUUUAAGUCUCAAAAAUAUAUGUAUUUUAUCCCUUGA